rnacentral:rRNA from 1 species
UACGUAGGGGACAAGCGUUGUCCGGAUUCAUUGGGCGUAAAGAGCGUGUAGGCGGUCAGGUAGGUCGGUUGUGAAAACUGGAGGCUCAACCUUCAGAGGUCGACCGAAACCAUCUGGCUAGAGUCCGGGAGAGGAGAGUGGAAUUCCUGGUGUAGCGGUGAAAUGCGCAGAUAUCAGGAAGAACACCCGUGGCGAAAGCGGCUCUCUGGAACGGUACUGACGCUGAGACGCGAAAGCGUGGGGAGCGAACAGG